CCUACGGUGUGCAGCAGUGAGGAAUAUUGGUCAAUGGCCGAGAGGCUGAACCAGCCAAGUCGCGUGAGGGAAGACGGCCCUACGGGUUGUCAACCUCUUUUGUCGGGGAGCAAAGCGAACCACGUGUGGUUCAUUGAGAGUACCCGAAGAAAAAGCAUCGGCUAACUCCGUGCCAGCAGCCGCGGUAAUUCGGAGGAUGCGAGCGUUAUCCGGAUUUAUUGGGUUUAAAGGGUGCGCAGGCGGAGGUGCAAGUCAGCGGUCAAAUUGCGGGGCUCAACCCCGUACUGCCGUUGAAACUGCAUCCCUUGAGUGCGCGAGAAGUAUGCGGAAUGCGUGGUGUAGUGGUGAAAUGCAUAGAUAUCACGCAGAACUCCGAUUGCGAAGGCAGCAUACCGGCGCGCAACUGACGCUCAUGCACGAAAGCGUGGGUAUCGAACAGGAUUAGAUACCCGGGUAGUC
rnacentral:rRNA from 1 species